rnacentral:lncRNA from 1 species
AUUUGAAAGAUGAUAAUGAGAAGUUCACUUCAGCUCUGGGUCACUUAUGUUGAGAAAAACCUAUCUCUACAAUAGAUAACCCUAACAGUCAUGGCUAAAGCUCAACUAAGAGCUAGGGGCAUGUUCGAAUGAUCCAUAGAAUAAAAGUAGUAGUGAGGUUUAUGAAUUAUGAAGGGCCUGUUUUGCAUUACUGUUGUUCUUGUGUUC